UGGGAUUAAAGGUGUGUAUCACAAAACCAGC
rnacentral:piRNA from 1 species